AUUGAACGCUGGCGGCAGGCCUAACACAUGCAAGUCGAGCGGAGCGGCGGACGGGUGAGUGAUGCCUAGGAAUCUGAAUGGUAGUGGUGGAUGACGUCAGGAAACGGGCGCGAAUACCGAAUCCUAUCAGCUGAGCCUAUGUCGGAUUAGCAAGUGGGUGGGGUAAAGGCAUACAAAGGCGCCGAUCCGUAACUGGUCUGAGAGGAGGAGCAGUCACACUGGAACUGAGACACGGUCCAGACUCCUACGGGAGGCAGCAGUGGGGAAUAUUGGACAAUGGGCGAAAGCCUGAUCCAGCCAUGCCGCGUGUGUGAAGAAGGUCUUCGGAUUGUAAAGCACUUUAAGUGGGGAGGCGUUACCAGCAGAAUAAGCACCGGCUAACUACGUGCCAGCAGCCGCGGUAAUUC
rnacentral:rRNA from 1 species